rnacentral:rRNA from 1 species
AGCGAACGCUGGCGGCAGGCCUAACACUUGCAAGUCGAACGAAGCCUUCGGGCUUAGUGGCGGACGGGUGAGUAACACGUGGGAACGUACCUUUUGGUUCGGAAUAACGCAGAGAAAUUUGCGCUAAUACCGAAUGAGCCCUUCGGGGGAAAGAUUUAUCGCCGAAAGAUCGGCCCGCGUUGGAUUAGGUAGUUGGUGUGGUAAAGGCGCACCAAGCCUACGAUCCAUAGCUGGUCUGAGAGGAUGAUCAGCCACACUGGGACUGAGACACGGCCCAGACUCCUACGGGAGGCAGCAGUGGGGAAUCUUGCGCAAUGGGCGAAAGCCUGACGCAGCCAUGCCGUGUGAAUGAUGAGGGUCUUAGGAUUGUAAAAUUCUUUUACCAGGGACGAUAAUGACGGUACCUGGAGAAAAAGCCCCGGCUAACUUCGUGCCAGCCGCCGCCGUAACAC